rnacentral:rRNA from 1 species
AGCAGCCGCGGUAAUUCCAGCUCCAAUAGCGUAUAUUAAAGUUGUUGCAGUUAAAAAGCUCGUAGUUGAAUUUCGGGAUCAGAUUGUCGGUCGUGCCUCGGUACGCACUGGCAUUAUUGGUUCCUACCUUCUGAAGAACCGCGAUGUCAUUAAUUUGGUGUCGUGGGGAAUCAGGACUGUUACUUUGAAAAAAUUAGAGUGUUUAAAGCAGGCGCACGCUUGAAUACAUUAGCAUGGAAUAAUGAAAUAGGACGUUUGAUUCUAUUUUGUUGGUUUCUAGGAUCGACGUAAUGAUUAAUAGGGAUAGUUGGGGGCAUUAGUAUUCAAUUGUCAGAGGUGAAAUUCUUGGAUUUAUUGAAGACUAACUACUGCGAAAGCAUUUGCCAAGGAUGUUUUCAUUAAUCAAGAACGAAAGUUAGGGGAUCGAAGACGAUCAGAUACCGUCGUAGUCUUAACCAUAAACUAUGCCGACUAGGGAUCGGAUGAUGUUAAUUUUUUAAUGACUCAUUCGGCGCCUUACG